rnacentral:rRNA from 1 species
GAUGAAGGUGGCUCGAGAGGGUUGCUGGACGUAUCACAAGUGCGAAUGCUGACAUAAGUAACGAUAAAACGAGUGAAAAACUCGUUCGCCGGAAGACCAAGGGUUCCUGUCCAACGUUAAUCGGGGCAGGGUGAGUCGGCCCCUAAGGCGAGGCUGAAAAGCGUAGUCGAUGGGAAACGGGUUAAUAUUCCCGUACUUGGAUAAACUGCGAUGUGGGGACGGAGAAGGUUAGGUUAGCAGACUGUUGGAUGUCUGUUUAAGGUGGUAGGUGGAAGACUUAGGCAAAUCCGGGUCUUUAUAAACACUGAGAGCUGAUGACGAGGUCUUAAGGGACUGAAGUAACUGAUACCCUGCUUCCAGGAAAAGCCACUAAGCUUCAGGUUUAUCUAAACCGUACUGAAAACCGACACAGGUGGUCAGGUAGAGAAUACUCAGGCGCUUGAGAGAACUCGGGUGAAGGAACUAGGCAAAAUAGCACCGUAACUUCGGGAGAAGGUGCGCUUACAGUAAUUGUAGUCCCUUGCGGAUGAAGGUGAAGUAAGUCGAAGAUACCAGCUGGCUGCAACUGUUUAUUAAAAACACAGCACUCUGCAAACACGAAAGUGGACGUAUAGGGUGUGAUGCCUGCCCGGUGCUGGAAGGUUAAUUGAUGGUGUUAUCGAAAGAGAAGCUCCUGAUCGAAGCCCCAGUAAACGGCGGCCGUAACUAUAACGGUCCUAAGGUAGCGAAAUUCCUUGUCGGGUAAGUUCCGACCUGCACGAAUGGCAUAAUGAUGGCCAGGCUGUCUCCACCCGAGACUCAGUGAAAUUGAAAUCGCCGUGAAGAUGCGGUGUACCCGCGGCUAGACGGAAAGACCCCGUGAACCUUUACUAUAGCUUGACACUGAACAUUGAAUUUUGAUGUGUAGGAUAGGUGGGAGCCUUUGAAGCAGUGACGCCAGUCAUUGUGGAGGCGACCUUGAAAUACCACCCUUUAACGUUUGAUGUUCUAACGAAGUGCCUGAAACGGGUACUCGGACAGUGUCUGGUGGGUAGUUUGACUGGGGCGGUCUCCUCCCAAAGCGUAACGGAGGAGCACGAAGGUUUGCUAAUGACGGUCGGACAUCGUCAGGUUAGUGCAAUGGUAUAAGCAAGCUUAACUGCGAGACAGACAAGUCGAGCAGGUGCGAAAGCAGGUCAUAGUGAUCCGGUGGUUCUGAAUGGAAGGGCCAUCGCUCAACGGAUAAAAGGUACUCCGGGGAUAACAGGCUGAUACCGCCCAAGAGUUCAUAUCGACGGCGGUGUUUGGCACCUCGAUGUCGGCUCAUCACAUCCUGGGGCUGAAGUAGGUCCCAAGGGUAUGGCUGUUCGCCAUUUAAAGUGGUACGCGAGCUGGGUUUAGAACGUCGUGAGACAGUUCGGUCCCUAUCUGCCGUGGGCGUUGGAUGAUUGAUUGGGGCUGCUCCUAGUACGAGAGGACCGGAGUGGACGCAUCACUGGUGUUCCAGUUGUCUCGCCAGAGGCAUUGCUGGGUAGCUAAAUGCGGAAGAGAUAAGUGCUGAAAGCAUCUAAGCACGAAACUUGCCAAGAGAUGAGUCAUCCCUGACUUUAAGUCAGUAAGGGUUGUUGUAGACUACGACGUAGAUAGGUUGGGUGUGUAAGUGUAGUGAUACAUUGAGCUAACCAAUACUAAUUGCCCGAGAGGCUUAACUAU